rnacentral:lncRNA from 1 species
UUUUGGACCGGAAGGAUGAUGGAGUCAAGAUAUAAAUAAAAGUGCAAAGAGACAAGAAAACAAACGGGAGCAUGGGAUGCCACCGUUUAUCCCCGCCAAGUCACCACAACAGCCUUCCAUCUGAAGCCUGAGAGCCACCUGCUCUGCAUCUGCUCUGCCAACCGAGAAACAGAGGACUGACAAAAAGAGAAAAAUCCAUUCUAAGUGGAUCUGUGACAAUAUAGGGCAAGAAGGUCCUGGGAUCCACCAAGAGUUUUAAUCAAUAAGACUGACAGCACGGAACACGCCGGAAACUAGGCAAAGACGAGCCUGAGGAAAGCAUUCAGGAAACAGCCCGAGCUGUACUGUUCUGGCAACAGA